rnacentral:rRNA from 1 species
CCUACGGGAGGCAGCAGUGAGGAAUAUUGGUCAAUGGGCGCGAGCCUGAACCAGCCAAGUAGCGUGAAGGAUGACUGCCCUACGGGUUGUAAACUUCUUUUAUAAAGGAAUAAAGUGAGGCACGUGGGCCUUUGUGUAUGGACUUUAUGAAUAAGGAUCGGCUAACUCCGUGCAAGAAGCCGCGGUAAUGCGGAGGAUCCGAGCGUUAUCCGGAUUUAUUGGUGUUAAAGGGAGCGUAGAUGGGUGGUUAAGUCAGGUGGGAAAGUUUGCGGCUCAACCGUAGAAGUGAAAUUGAUACUGGAAGCCUUGAGUACAGUUGAGGUAGGCGGAAUGCGUGGUGUAGCGGUGAAAUGCUUAGAUAUCACGAAGAACUCCGAUUGCGAAGGCAGCCUACUAAACUGCCACUGACAUUGAUGCUCGAAAGUGUGGGUAUCAAACAGGAUUAGAUACCCGGGUAGUC